ensembl:lncRNA
AUGAGGAAUACCAGAUCCCAAAGUUCUCGAUCCCUGGGGAUCCCAAAGUUCUCGAUCCAGGGGGAAUUCCAGAUCCCAAAGUUCUCGAUCCCCGGGGAUCCACCUGGGGAAUCCUUCCCUGGGAGCGCUCCCGGAUCUCUCCUCGCUCUCCCCGCUCCCAUCGGGAUCCCGCUGGGAUCGAGGGGAAUCCCUGGGAUCUGCCCCGACCAAUCCUUCCCGAAGAGCUCCCGGGAUCCGCCCGGAACAAUCCUCUGCUGGAGCAGCCCCCGGGAUCCACUGGGAGAAAUCCUUCCCUGGGAAAUCCCUGGGAUCCACUCGGAGAAUCCUUCACUGGAGCAGCCCCCGGGAUCCACUCAGAGAAAUCCUUCCCUGGGAAAUUCCCGGGAUCCACUCAGAAGAAUUAUUCACUGGGAAAGUUCCUGGGAUCCACUCAGAGAAUCCUUCACUGGGAAAUCCCUGGGAUCCACUAAGAGGAAUUAUUCACUGGGAAAUCCCUGGGAUCCACUCGGAGAAAUCCUUCACUGGGAAAGCCCCCGGGAUCCACUCAGAGAAAUCCUUCACUGGAAAAGUUCCUGGGAUCCACUCGGAGAAAUCCUUCACUGGAGGAGCUCCUGGGAUCUGCUCCAACGAGUCCUUCCUUGGGGGAGUUCCGGGAUCCACCCGGAGAAAUCCAUCCUGUGGAGAGCUCCUGGGAAGUUCCGGGAUCCACCCGGAGAAAUCCAUCCUGUGGAGAGCUCCUGGGAUCUCUCCAGACCAAUCCAUCCCUGGAAAAGCUCCUGGGAUCCACCUGGGGAAUCCUUAUCUGGAAAAUUCCUGGGAUCCACUGAGAGAAAUCCUUCCCAGGAAAAGUUCCUGGGAUCCACUUGGAGAAUCCUUCACUGGAAGAGUUCUCGGGAUCCACUCAGACUGAUCCCCCACUGGAGAAGCUCCUGGGAUCUCUCCAGACCAACCCUUCCCAGGAGAAGCUCUUGGGAUCCACUUGGAGAAAUCCUUCACUUUAAAAUUCCUGGGAUCCACUUGGAGAACCCUUCCCUGGAAAAGUUCCUGGGAUCCACCCAGACCAACCCUUCCCUGGAGAAGUUCUCGGGAUCCACUUGGAGAAUCCUUCAAUGGAAAAGCUCCUGGGAUCUCUCCAUACCGAUCCUUCCCAGGAAAAGUUCCUGGGAUCCACUUGGAGAAUCCUUCCCUGGAAAAGUUCUCGGGAUCCGUGCAGACCGAUCCUCCACUGGAGAAGUUCCUGGGAUCCACUUGGAGAAAUCAACUUGGAGAUCUUUCACUGCAGAAGCUCCUGGGAUCUCUCCAGACCAAUCCAUCCCAGGAAAAGUUCUCAGGAUCCACUCAGACCGAUCCUUCACUGGAAGAGCUCCUGGGAUCCACUUGGAGAAUCAUUCAAUGGAAAAGUUCUUGGGAUCCACUUGGAGAAUCCUUCACUGGAAAAGUUCUUGGGAUCCACUUGGAGAAUCAGUCACUGGAAGAGCUCUCGGGAUCCACUUGGAGAAUCCUUCACUGGAAAAGUUCUUGGGAUCCACUUGGAGAAUCAUUCAAUGGAAAAGUUCUCGGGAUCCACUCAGACCAAUCCUCCACUGGAAAAGCUCUCGGGAUCCACUUGGAGAAUCCUCCACUGGAAGAGCUCUUGGGAUCCACUCAGACCGAUCCUCCACUGCAGAAGUCCUUGGGAUCCACCCGGAG